GGCCGCUUGGUCUAGUAGUAUGAUUCCUGUUUUGGGGAGUAAGCUUGCUUACAACAUCAAGCAUACAGGAGGUCGUGGGUUCAAUUCCCACAGCGGCCC
rfam:Rhizoctonia solani AG-1 IA unplaced genomic scaffold scaffold25, whole genome shotgun sequence.